rnacentral:rRNA from 1 species
CCUACGGGGGGCAGCAGUGGGGAAUAUUGGACAAUGGGCGAAAGCCUGAUCCAGCCAUGCCGCGUGUGUGAAGAAGGCCUUCGGGUUGUAAAGCACUUUCAGUGGGGAAGAAAGCCUUGGGGCUAAUACCCUCGAGGAAGGACAUCACCCACAGAAGAAGCACCGGCUAACUCCGUGCCAGCAGCCGCGGUAAUACGGAGGGUGCGAGCGUUAAUCGGAAUUACUGGGCGUAAAGCGCGCGUAGGCGGUCUGAUAAGCCGGUUGUGAAAGCCCCGGGCUCAACCUGGGAACGGCAUCCGGAACUGUCAGGCUAGAGAGCAGGAGAGGAAGGUAGAAUUCCCGGUGUAGCGGUGAAAUGCGUAGAGAUCGGGAGGAAUACCAGUGGCGAAGGCGGCCUUCUGGACUGACACUGACGCUGAGGUGCGAAAGCGUGGGUAGCAAACAGGAUUAGAUACCCGAGUAGUC